UUAGUUUAAUAUUACACGAUAUUAUAUACUAUUUUCAGAUUUUGAUAAUUGGGUUUAUGGUUGAUAAUUAGGGUUUAUACUUGGUUUUAGUAUUUUAAAGUUUGGUUUGGAUUUAGUAUUUAAAAGUUGUGUAUUGGGUUGAUAUUGAAUGUAUUCUUUAUUGAAAAGUCUUAUAUAUUAUCUAUUCAUUUUACCGUCAUUCAGUCACGUGAUUAUAGUUUAUAUUUGGAUUAGGGUUUAAGAAUUAUGAUUUAGUGUUCAGUAUUUAGGAGUUUGAAUAAUGUUUAGUAUUUAAGGAUUAUAGAUGUUGUUUUAGUCCUUCUAUACUACUUCGUGUGAUAAGGAAUAUAACACUCAGUGCAUACAUAUGUGGUCAAUAAAUAUGUAACUUGGAUGUCUCUUUUUUUUCCACUCCUGGCCAUAUAUUAUUUGCUAUAAUACUAGCCAUAUUUUUCUUUGUUUACGUCAUCU
rnacentral:lncRNA from 1 species